CUUGACGCCUUUAUACGUGUUCGCUAUCAUGCCCGCAGCAACGGGGAAUCCUGUGAAAAUCAGGAACAGUCGCGCUGCGGUAACUGGUUACGACCUCUCAUCGCGAUGCAAAUCGUGAAAGCCAAUCCGGACACAUGCCGGGUGAAGGCGGGAGGAAGGUUUGAAACCAGAAGUCCGAAUAUCCGUCGCCUGGGGCACCACGCC
rnacentral:ncRNA from 2 species